rnacentral:tRNA from 1 species
GCGAGGAUCUCCGAGCCAGGUCAAAGGAGCUAGGUUCAGGGCCUAGUCGAGAAGUCGUUCGCCGGUUCAAAUCCGGCUCCUCGCA